rnacentral:lncRNA from 10 species
CAUGCCCUUGUCACUUCGGCCUGAGUCCCAGAAUGAGAAGUUACAUGGAGCAGACCUGAACAAGAUUCACAACCUGAACAGAAUCACUGCAGCCAAUCCACAAACCUAAAAUUGUCUACAUUCCUGCCUGGGCAUGGUGGCUCAUGCCUGUAAUCCAGCACUUUGGGAGGCCGAGGUGGGCGAGUCACUUGAGUCAGGAGUUCGAGACCAGCCUGGCCAACAUGGUGAAACCCUGCCUCUACUAAAAAUACAAAAAAUUAGCUGAGCAUGGUGGUGCAUGACUGUAAUCCCAGCUACUUGGGAGGCUGGGUCAGGAGAAUCGCUUUAACUGGGAGGUGGAGGUUGCAGUGAGCCAAGAUCACGCCACUGCACUCCAGAGUGGGAAACAGAGCAAGACUCCACCUCAAAAAGAAGAAGGAGAAGGAGAAGGAGAUUAUCUACAUUCCUGAGGAGGAGAAGUUGUACUUAAACUACCUUGAUCCAACUUCCAGCUUUACAAUCAUUGCCCCCCACCAUGCAUAUAUCAUACAUAUAUACCUGCUAGCAUGAAUACCUGCAUCAUAUCUAGAAUUAAUGGGAAUAGUCAUAGGGCCAAUCUUUCUUAUAUCAAGCAAGCUGAACAAGGGUCCAAGGGAUAAGGCCACAGCUACUUCCUCCUGCUUUAGAACAGAGCUAAAUAAACCUGUUCCUAAGUCUUGUGA